UACGUAGGGGGCAAGCGUUGUCCGGAUUUAUUGGGCGUAAAGAGCGUGUAGGCGGCUUUACAGGUCCGUUGUGAAAACUCGAGGCUCAACCUCGAGACGCCGGUGGAAACCGUAAAGCUAGAGUCCGGAAGAGGAGAGUGGAAUUCCUGGUGUAGCGGUGAAAUGCGCAGAUAUCAGGAGGAACACCGAUGGCGAAGGCAGCUCACUGGGACGGUACUGACGCUGAGACGCGAAAGCGUGGGUAGCAAACAGG
rnacentral:rRNA from 1 species